rnacentral:lncRNA from 1 species
UUUUUCCUACAUUUUGGUUUAGAUAUAAUUAUUUUGACUGAAGGAAACAAAAUCUAUAACUGAUAUGGCCUACAUAAUAAUAUUUCAUCAUCACAGGUGUCUGGAGAUCUGUGAUUCAAGUGGUUGGUUCAGCAGCUCAAUCAUAUUUGUCUCCAGAAUAGACUCACGCCAUCACAUCUGCUUCAAAAUCUUUUCAAUUUGUCCUCUGUGUUUAUUCAUGUUUACUAUGAAUUUGACUUCCAGUUGUCUGCUACUCAUAAAAAUCAAGGAAAUGCUAGCACUUGAUGUUGACCGAAUUCCUACUAUCAAGAAGAUCUGCAUAGAUAUACUCUGUCUCAAAAUGUAUCUAUAAAGAAAUAAAAUAGCUUAAAUCCUGUGCUUGUGUAUUUAU